ACAUGUCAGGGAAUAUUGGCAAAUAUUUUCAAACACUUGUAAUCUGUCAAAGAAGUGCUAUGGGGACCCACCUGACUCUUUAUUCUCAAACAAGAAAGGUGCAAAGAAAUGUCGGGAGAAGAAGUUCUCUGAGAGUGCCCAUGUUCCCAUUCAUCCAGCUACAUUUGCCAAGACACAAGGUAAGAGAAAAGGCUGAGGGCUUACCCCCCAUCUAGCAGACUUAUUGGGCUUCUAACAUCAGGCUAGUGGAAGUAAACAGUGCCCAUUCGGUAGCUAACAGAGGUGGGCUAGAUUCAGAACCCAACCAUUUCUCAAUGAGCAACUGUAAGGAAUGAGAGAACGUUUCCCUCUGGGACAAAGGCUAGGGUUGCUUACUGCUUGCUAUAAAAGCAGUGGAUACUCCAAGUUCGGUAUCCUUCUCCUAUAACAGGACUUCCUGCACCGCAGACAUCCACCUGCAUCUUCAGCAUCCCCUCUGUGGUACUUCAAGGUAAAAGGAAUAGUCACAACCUACUCUUAAGGUGUCAAGAGUCAUAAAGGUCUUAAACUGACCCAUGAGUCUCAUUGUCUGAGCAUCCAUGAAAUAACAAACAGGCUAAGUGGUUAACUUUACGGUAAGUUAAGAUCAAAUUCUAGACCCUACAAGAAGCUGCACAGCAAGCUGGGGACCACCUGAAAAAGUAAUAAAGCUUGGGACAGGGCGCACGGUAGUGACAUAUUUAAUGUUAAAUGCCCAGGGGCCAGAACUCCCUUAACUCAUAAAAACCAGAAAAUCAAACUCCAGAAAUUCUAAAGCAAUAUAACAUGGUAUAUGAGAGCAUACACCUGAAUCCAAAUCCCAGAUCAGCCACUCACUGGAUCUGAGACUCUGGGCAAGUCACCUAACCAACCACCUUGUGCCUUGGUUUCCUCAUCUAUAGAAUGAUGGCAAUAAUAAUACAUACCCCAGAGCAUUACUGUUAUGCGAAUUACUGAAUGAAUUUAUGCACAGUGCACAGAACACAGUAAAUGCCACAUGAAUAUUUGCCACAUUACCACCAGCUCUAAAAAUUCAAUGAUUCCAUAGAUCUUUAUACAAUGCCCAUUAUCCUAACUCUUUAUAAUGCAAUCUUCCUGUAUAGGAUAUACUGUUCAGUGAAAAAGUCAGGUGGGAAAAAAAAAUGCAUAUAAUUAGUUACAUUUUAUAAAGAAAAAGGAGACGUUGGUAUAUAAAUAUAUUUGGUUACAUUCUUCAAACAGAGAAAAACCAAAAACUGAAAGACAAAUGGCUAUGUCUGAGGUGUGGGAGGGAAAAACAAUGAUAGGUUUGGAAGCCAGAAUUCUCAGAACAUUCCUGUUCUGUAGAUGUGACUUUGAUACCAUGUAAAUAGUUUAUGUAAUUAUCAAACAAAAUUAUCUCUUAAGAAGUAAUCUAUAAAAAUCAAAAACAAAAUGGAACAUGUUUAAUUGUUCACUGAAUUCGAGUCCAAACCACACAGAGAAAAGCCAUUUUUUCAAUGAUAUUUAAAGAUAGUAAUUCAUAUGUCCCUAAAAGGACCUUGGGGUGCCUGGGUGGCUCAGUUGGUUAAGCGGCCGACUUCGGCUCAGGUCAUGAUCUCACGGUCUGUGAGUUCGAGCCCCGCAUCGGGCUCUGUGCAGACAGCUCAGAGCCUGGAGCCUGUUUCAGAUUCUGUGUCUCCCUCUCUCUGACCCUCCCUGUUCAUGCUCUGUCUCUCUCUGUCUCAAAAAUAAAUAAAUGUUAAAAAAAAAAUUUUUUUUUAAAUAAAUAAAAGGAUAUACCUUAAGGACAAAACAAACUGCUAAUAAAUAAAUAAAUAGCAUUGUUUUUGGUAAUCACAUAGCCACUUUUCCUGCUUUUCUUAAUCAAAUUCUACCCAAAUAUAAUAAAAGGGUUGAAAUAAGGAACUUUCUCUUAAUAGAAUUUUUUGAAAAAGGAAUGACAGCAUCUGAACAUCCCCACUAUGUAGAGACCUGACCAUCGAUGGCUGUCAAUGACACAGAAAGAGAAAGCAGACCUUAUGUGUCUCAUUAAUAGAAAUACACAUCAUCACCUAUGAAGUAUUUCUUACAAAAAAAAAAAAGAAAAGAAAAAGAAAAAAAAAAACAUCAAUCAGAUCAGUCCUUUAGAGCUAACAACCAAUUUACAAAAAAUACAAGUGGGGGACAGAAGAACAUGCUAAAAAAGCACCAUCCAGCCUGUACAAAACUACAGGGCAGAGGAUUCAACUUAUUUAACCAGGUGGAGGGGGGGGGGAACCUAUAGAUUAAAGGGAACCUAUAGAUUAUAGGGGACCUAAGAAACAAGGCAAUUAAUUGCAAAUCAUAGAGCUCUUUGGAUCUAAUAAAGUGUGUGUGUUCUUUUUUUAAAGAGCCAAUUGAGAAAUUUAAACACUGAGUACAUAGGUGUUAACAUUAACAAAUUAUCAUCAGAGCUUAAGGCAUGACAGCAGUAUUGUAAAUUCUGUUUCUAUAGAGUCCUCAUCUUCCAGAAAUAAACACUAAGUAUUUACAUACAGAAUGACUGAUCUAAAAUUUCUGAAACCGUACAUCUGAUACAACCAAGGAGAAGGGAGACUGGGUAGGGACAGAUGAAACAAGGCAGGCCACGAUGAGCAUGCUGAGGUCCACUCAACUAGCCUUUCUACUUCUGUAUGCGUUUCAAAUAUCCCAUAAUAAAAAUCAGUUAUUCUACCAAAUCUCAGCCUUGGGCCAGACACCAUCAGUGGACAGACAUUAUGUUCAACUCUGAUCACUUCCUUACUAAGGGAUAUAGACUUGAGACAAGUAACUUCAUUCUGCUGAGCCUCAGUCUUCUAUUCUGUGAAAUGGCUAUGAUGCAGAGGGAAGGAGAAAACUCAUUUCCGAGUGCCCGGCACAGGGUAUGCACUCUCCCAAUGGAGGCUUUCCACCACCCAGAGCUUUCUAAGGCAACACCACAGCAGGCAGCAAGCUACAGAACCGAAUCUUCCCCCUGCCCAACUUUAAAGACCUGCCUAGUGAGCUUGUGGAUUACUCGUUCAAUCGUCUCCAGCAGGAGUGAUAUUCUUAAAAGAAUAUGCUCAUGUUCUGUGUGGUGAAUAGCAAUUUCCACCAUCUACACACACGCACACACACACACGGCUAGGUGGCCUCUUUCGGGCUGGCCCUAUGUGAUUCACAGGAAGUAAAACACCGUCUCCCAGCUGCAAAGACUCACCAGUUUUAAACAUGCUUUCUUUCCCCAGACAUCCAGCCUGGAGACAUCAGGGACAUCGCCUUCCUUUCUGAGCCUGGGCGAGAGGCUUUGUCAAGUCACUUCCUUGACCAGAUAACACAUCACAUCAGGGAACGGCAUUUGACACGGAUGAAAAAUGAAGUUUACACAAGUUCUUGCUUUGAGAACAUGUGCAACGCGGUUUCUUUUCUCCAACGGCAGCUCUGGUUUGGAAGAUGGCGUGUCUCUGCAAGGCACUGAGUCACUACUCACACUUGUAAAAUAUUCCUGAGCACAUUUGGUGAAUAUUUUCCAACUGUACAUACACAAACGCAUGUGUAGAUUCCCAUAAGCCUGGAGCUUCAUCCUGCCCUCCCUGCGUUUCAAGCUCUUGGUUUUUUACGGCAGUUGCUGAUAGACUUUGCUGGGAAGCAGAGGAACACAUCCCUUGGAGAAAGAAAUGGCUCCAGUCCCCAUGCUGUCCCUUACUGGACAGAUUAUCAAUCUCUAUGUCCAGAUUUCCUUCCAUAAAAUGCAGACAAUAAAACCUAAGGGAUUUUUUCGAGAAUCACGCUGGAUAAAAUACAUAGAGAACUUUGCCCAGUCUCUGGUCCACAGAAUGUGCUUCAUAAAUGCCUAAUAUUAUUACUCUCAUGGUCUGAUGCUAGGUCUCACCCAUCCACGUACCACCCCCCCAGCACCCUGCACUGGGCUUGACAUAAGGUAAGCUCACGAUAUUUGUUAAAUCAAUGCAUGAAUGAAAUGGAGAUGAUUAAAUUUAACCUGUCUCUAUUUGUUAAAAAGGAGUCAAGUGGAGGCAGGCCUGGGUGGCUCAGUCGGUUAAGCGGCCGACUUCAGCUCAGGUCAUGAUCUCGCGGUCCGUAAGUUCGAGCCCCGCAUCCGGCUCUGUGCUGACAGUUCGGAGCCUGGGACCUGCUUUGGAUUCUGUGUCUCUCCCUCUCUCUCUGCCCCUCCCUGACUCACGCUCUGUCUCAAAAAUAAACACUAAAAAAAAAUUUUUUUUUAAAAAGGAGUCAAGUAACUUUAAGUCUCUCAAAAACAUAUAGUACUAUUAUCUUAAAUAUCAGUGAGACUCAUCAAAGAUGGACACACUCAUCCAGGUGAGAGGUGCUGAGGGCCUGGCCUGAAACAACUGAGGCAAAUGAAGAGAGGGCAGGGGCCAGACUCCAGAGACCUUCAGAAGCCAGGAUCAGUAAGAGGUGGUGGCUUUUAAAUGCAAGGGGUGGGAGGAAAAGGGCAGGGUGACACAAUGACGAAGCAAAUUUGGGAGAAAAUUUAAAGACGUGAAUUUUGCACUUCCUGGGAUCAACACCACCUUAGGACACCCAAGGAGAGAACUGACUUUUUUUUUUUUUUUAGUUUAUUUUUUGACAGAGAGAGAAAAAGGGAGAGAGAGCAGGGGAGGGGGAGAGAGAAAGACUGAGGAUCCAAUGCAGGCUCUGUGCUGACAGCAGCGAGCCCGAUGCGGGGCUUGAACUCACGAACCGGGAGAUCAUAACCUGAGCCGAAGUUGAACGCUUAAUCCACUGAGCCACCCAGAUGCCCUGAGAGCUGACUUUUAACAAGGCAGAAAUAGAUUGCACACAGAUGUUCAUAGCAACACUAUUCACCAUCGCCAAGCGGUGGAAGCAAUCCAAAUGCCCAAUGAGGAAUAAACAGACAAACAAAAUGUGGUAUAUGCGCACCAGAGGAUAUUAUUCAGCUUUUAUAAAGGAAGGAAGUUCAGACACAGGCUCCAGCAUGGAUGAACCUUGAGAACAUUCUGCUAAAUGGAAAAAGCCGGCAACAAGAAGACACAUACUGUAGGGACUCCACUUAGGAGAGGCAGUGAGAAUAGUCAGACCCCGGAAGGACAGAAAGCAGAAUGGUGGUGACUGGGGCUGUUUCCUGGGUGAAGAGUGUCAGUUCUGCAAGACGAAAGUUCUGGAGAAGCGCUGCACAACAAUGUGCCAACAACACUACUUAACUGUACAUUGUUUAAAAAACAGGUGGAAAUAUGAAUCUGGAGUCAUGAGCCAGAGGCGCUCCCUACUCCCCAUCUGCACGAACUUGGUGGCUCACGAACUCUGAACCCACCUCUGAACCCACCUCUGAACCCACCUUCCACUCUGCCAGGUAGGCCAAUAAGAGACGGUCAUUUGUCUGCAGACCUCCAACAAGCUCGCAGGACAGUGAGGAUGAACAUAUUCUGGGAGGAGCAUACAGCUACCUGCACAUCACGCCCUUAGGAAAGCCCCAGAAGCCUCUACCCCUCUCCGAUCUAUCGGGAACUGCAAUAUUUCAGCCCAUGGUCUCUGUUCUUUAAUCCUUCUUCCUCACCUGUGCCUCCAUGAUCCACGAAGCCUUUUUUAUUUUACCUUCUUACCAUUUUGGUCCCAGCUGUGGCCGAGUGAGGUAUACGUACAAUCACUCCUGACUUGCAGAGCAAAGCAAGCCAGCUUGGCCAAGCCUGGGAGUGAGGGAGAAAAAAAAAAAAACAAAACAAAACAAACAAACCCAAGUCCAAGUUGUGUAAGAGCAGUGACUGUAUACCAAUUAAAGGCUGCGGGGCCUGAAAUGUAAACAAAACCGUCUGGUGAGUGUCUGUCACUUUACUAAGGGGAGAUUGUGCAAACAACUCACGUGGUUCUUUCGUGGGAACAAAGCUUUAUCGGAUGAGAGUUUUAACAACUCCCACAGAGAAGCCAGGCCCUAAGUCCCCUAUGGCCAUCGACGUCUCCUGGCUGAGACACUCCUCACCAUUCCAUCCUUUACUGCUAAAAUCAGGAAUAAUUUUAUUAGAGGGGAGAGAGAGAGGAAGAGAGAGGAAGAGAGAGAGAGAGAGAGAGAGAGAGAAAGAGUGUGAGCAUACUCCCUCUGCCUCAGUUUCCUCAUCGCACAAUGAGAAUGGCAACCCUGGUCUCCCUGGGCUUUAGGAGGAGGGAGCGAGAGGCCACAGGCAAAGCGCCCCAUUCUCUGUUGUGUAGCAGGGACACCAAAGAGGACGGCUAGUACAUCCCGUGUCGCUACAGUCAUUAUUCAAACCCCCACGUGCUUGACGCACUUGUCCAAAUAAGCAGACAGGUGUUAAAUUUUCUUUGUGACCACAAUCGUUCCUAAAAUUAAACACUUGCUCACAACCAGUAACAAGGUGGAUAUUAAAAAAUAAAGAAGCACCCAUGCAGGAGACAUUUUGUUCUUUAUGCUGCCCCAUGGCUUCUGAGUCUUGUCUUCAGCCCCAGAACCACAGGCGUUAAUGCAUGCAUAAGCCAAUCCAGCUGAUCCGGCUGGAUCAAGGUAAGGUUCUUUCCCCCGUGAUACAAAUGUACCGACUGAGGCUGGGGUAGGGGAAAUAAUUUAGAUCUAAUAAUAGACACCACUGGGUUUCUAAAGGUUCCAAGUGUCCAUACACAAUUUUAGAAUCUAUCAGAUCCUUGCUGGGCUAAUGAGGCCUCUUGCUGGGAAUCCAAAUUCCCUUUGUAAACUCCAUUAACAGCCCAUGAGGCAGGUGGGAAAAUAUGAAUGUUCUUAUGGUAAUAAUGCCUUGGGCAUAAAAGGAGGCACUGGGAAAUCGCAUCCACUUGUGCCACAUGCUUAGUUAGAACAUUAGAGAUAAAGGGAGAAAAACAUCUCUUCUUGGAGAGAGCUUAGGAUGUGCCCAACCCCCAAACCCUGCCUGCCCCCUGCACCCUCAUACCUGAACUAGGCGGCAAUGGGAAUCGGUAAAGACAGAAAGGGGGUUUCUUAAAUGCAGCGACCGUCCCAAAAAGUGUGGGGUAAGAAGUUUUGCCCAUGCUAAUUUUGCCAAGUUCAUUUGUGUCCCCAGAUGAUUUUCUGGGGUCCCUCACAACUUUCUGCCUACUUGUUUGUUUGUCAUUGCCUGGGAGAGAAUUUUUCUUAGUAAGAACGCAUGGAAAGUUUUGACUUCGGGAGUUCAGAUUCCAUUAUGAACCAGUGCAUUUUUAAAAUGUUUUUGCUUUCAAAGCAAAAAAAAAAAAAAAAAAAAAAAAAAAAAAAGCUGAUUUUCCUAUCUGUGCAUCCGUGCAAAACCAACACAGAAAAUUUGCUGAAUAUUACCCAAAACACCCACAGUUAGGCCAAAAGAAGGGAUGGAAAAUUUUAGCCCCAAAGGAAUUUUUUUUUUUUUUUUUUUGGACCCUGGAAGCACUGGCACAGGAGGAGGAGGGCUUGGAGGGCGUCUCCUGAGUGGCUGGGAACACAUUCUGACUUUUCACCCACAGUUGCCUGACUGAUGCGAAGAUGCCUCCUGUUGGAGGUACGGGGGCUCCCCAGGGAGCGGAACAAGUUGACAGCUGAGCAGUCCACAGCAUUCCAUCUGUCACUCCGCACAGCCCAUCACCUCGACUAUCUUGGUUUAUCUUACCCCAAGUCGCCCAACCUCACGGUCUGCCCGUCGUAAAGACUUUAUGGGAUUCUAACCUUUUUUGGAUCCUGAACCUCUUCGAGAAGCCAGCGAAAGCUUCCCCGCAGGAGCACGCACGCACCUCCAAAUAAUUUUAGAAGGUGCUGGAUCCCUCCCCUCAAGCACAUCCGAGAAACUUCAGUUUGAAGCAGCCCCGUUACGUAGCCCCCAAUUUCUCUUCACACUCGUAAGGCAAACUCCUGAGCCCCAGCUCUAAUGUCUACACCUAACUUGUUUAUGAGCGCCCAUCAGCCACCUAACGCGUUGGUGCGUUCGGAGGUUUGUCUGCACAAGGGCAAAAAUAAGCACGUGCACACGCACACGUCUUGGCAGGAAUGAAAUAGCAAAGCCAAGUCCCAAAUGGCGCGCGCUCAUUUAGCCUCCUGGCCCUUGACGAUACGAAGCCAGUGCUGGGAGUGAAGGCAGGGCCAGCGAUCACACUCGCGUCAAGGAGCCAGGAUUGGUCAGCCUUCUUCCAUUCGAUAAGCAGCAGCACUGAAUAAUAACCCAACAUGCUGGACACUCUCCCACCUCCGUAAGCGAUUUGCUAUUAAACACUUACUGCUCCCCAACAAAGCCUGCCUGCCAACAGGGUAUUUUUAAACACUUUUUUUGUUUGGAGUGGUCAGGGAGAAAGCGGGGAGUGUGGGGGGGGGGGGCAUUCCUUUUGGUUUCUAGGUCUCUUUCCUGCAACUUAAAGGCUAGGAAAUAAUGAAAUGAAAACCCGAGGCAGAACUUCCAACCUAACCCUUUUCAUUGACUGCAUGGGGUUAGGUGUUGUUCAGGUCUUUAGGGCAUCGUAAAAGAGCUAGCUCUCUGAUCAGAGCACAGCUGUCCUACGUGGGUUUCCUUGCACAGAAACGCUAUCCCCAUCAGAAGGUGCGGGGUCAAACCUCAAGAGGAAAGCAAUCCAGUCCAACUCUCGCCGUGACAUGACUGGGCAGUCAAGCCCGUGAACUGCAAACAUCGUACCGGAUCAUUUCUGUGCUAAAGGAAGUGGGAUUCCAAGGGCUAGAGGCUCACUUCGGGCAGAGCUGGAUCCAGGCAGUCGUCUUGCCUUCUCUCCCCCUCAUCUACCUUCCUUUACGAGGUCUUCACUCCUAGGUCAACUUCCCUGCAUGUGGCAGCAAUGACAGACAUUGGAAUCUCUGGACAUAAAGUUUUUACAGCUAGCAGUCCUAGAAAAGAAAGUGGCCUCUGUCUCUCUCGCUCUCUCUCUCUCUCUCUCUCACUCUGAGUCCAUUUGUCAAACCUCAUGGUAGGCUUUGAUUAUCACAAUCCUUGGGCCAAUCCUUGUACGUGGGAGCCCUUCUCUAUGUCAUGGCCAGCCACGCCUGGACCACAUUAUCAUGUCUGCAGCCCUCGUUGGGGAAAGGCAACCCUCGGUCACAAAAACGAGGUGCUAGACAGGCGAAAAGCCAACGGCCACAACAAAGACUCUUCCAUGAGGCCUAACACAAGAAUCUCCUAGCAAUGAAGAACUCACUUUGCCCUGAAGAGGAAGGCCAUUAACCUCUAACGCCCGUGUUAACAACAGCAAAUCACAACCCUCUACAGAAACCAAACCCUUCCCACAGCUGCUCUCACUGAAUGCCUCUUGCAGGUGAAAGGAAAAAAAAGGAGAUAAAGCGGAGAUUAUUCUAUGUCGGAAAGAAGUAGUCUGCAAAUAAACUAAAGAAAAGGAAUAUGCAGGUUAUUCAGGAAAAUAGCUCAGAACCUUUUAUAUUAAGAACAAUGCCUGUGUUACAGUUGAAAGGAAAAAUAAAAUCAAUCUUCUUUCACGAGGCAGGUGCAGUAAGAGGUUGAUGGUAUAGAAACAAUGUGCCUUUGAGGUUCUGAAGGAAGGAACCCACCCCGACCCGACCCUGCCCCAUGCACCUGCACCGUCACCUUCCCCACGAAUCUUCUCUAGGUCUGUCUGGGCCUCUCUGGUCUUACAUCGGGUCAUCAAACACUUGAAUGCUAUGCUCUAAAAUCUCUCAGCAAAGAUGUUCCCGCACACACAGGAAACAUCCACAGGCCCCAACUAGCCCCAAAUGGUAUUGGUUUCUACUCCCUUCAGGAAACUCUUGGGGAACAGAUUUCUUCAUCCAGACAAUCUUCGCUUGGAAAACUGGUUGAAUUUCUUUUCCAUUCUAGGAUUCCCAUGCUCAUGAGGCAAAAGGCAAAGCCUCAGCUGGAAUAGCAUCCUGAGAGGCUCAGCAACAGCUCUGACUCCUUCCUCUCUUCCAAACUGUGUCCUGUGUUUGUGCAAGAGUCCCCGCCCCCAUCCCCAACCCAACGCCCAGAUCACCUGCGAUCACAGUAGAUAACACUAUUUAUUCUGGCUGUGGCAUCCAUGAUGUGCAACUUCUUCCCUUACCACCUAGCUUCCUUUCUUGUUUUAUUUGCUAUCCAAAAGACAAAUGCAGUUUGAGAUGGAUGAUGUAGAGCCAAGGGUCCAAAAUGGCAAGCCACCAACGUACUCGAGCUGGCUUCUGUGUUGGUGACCCGCGGGAGGAUUUGGAGAGGAGGUCAACGAGCUGGCAAUUCAGUCCACUUGCAAACUAUGGAUUUCCGAUCACUCUUAAAAAUCCAAAGAUUUGGCAGGACUGACUCUGUACUCGGAUGAAGAAAGAACCCUCAGUUCCUCAGCCUCCAUCUAUGGUCUGCUUUUCUCAUUUGCUGGCCGAGCCCCUGUAGCACUUAAGAUUUCUACCCUGGGCAGAAGAUGUGGCCUGGGGCUGACAACAAGGGCACCCACACUCCUGGCCAGCCCAAAGCAUCUUUUCAUGGCACACUUGUGUCUCACUUACUUAUCUUCUGGAAAAAGUCACAGCCAGGCCAAAGGGCUGCCUUCCAAUUCACAUGGGAUCACGGCACUAACCCAAGCUUUUAAGUCUUCGGCAAAUGUGGACGGAUGUGGCUCAAACCACAAAGAUGUUCAUCGUUCAAAUGACCAACGAGCACACCCAGCAUUUCUAGAUUAUCAAAAUACCCUAUAGUUAUCUUUGUGAUAAUUAACACAAUAAUUUCACAUAUAAUUGAUAUAUUACGAACUUUACAACAGGUCCAUUGAAAGUAGGUUUACAUGUAUAGUAAAAGUAGGGUCUUAAAAGAAAAAGGCUGGAAGGAAAUAUACCUAAAUAUCGACAAUAACUUUCUAUAGGUACCCAGAUUAGAUAUUAUAGUUUCUUAUUAUAUUUGGGGUUUUCUCCAUGUUACUAAAGUGAGAAUACAUUCUUUUGAAAAACUGAGCCAAUAUCAAGAAGCAAAUUAGGAAGUAAUGUGUCAAAACCCAGAAAGCCAACCAAUACAUCAUGUUGUGGUAAUGGGCAUCCUCUAGGGUGCCUCUGACUUCGGAUGAACCAGAUCGCCUGCUGCCUGGGGCCAUGCUAGCAUUUAAGGUACUUUGAGAUGAGCCACAGGAAGGGGUCUGCAGGCAAAGAAGAGCCCUGCUGAUUUAAUGCAGGACUGAAGAGGUUGCUAUUCUUAGAUCUACUAGGUGGAUUAUGUCCCAAGCUGAAAAUCAGGAUCCAACUGCUCUUGUCAAAGACCUGCCUGUGUGUUUCAGUAAGUCAGUCACUUAUCUCACGCCUCACUUUCCACAUCUGGAAAUGGAGACGAUAGGACCACAAAAAAAGAAGAGGACAACAUUUAUUGAUCUCCACCACGGACAGGGUACCUGAUGCAAAGGAUAGCAAGGCAGAUCCCUGCAAGGUAGACCCCGGCCUCUUUUUACUGCUAAGGAAACAGGCUGAGGUUAACCAGAAAGGUGUCCAAACUCCUGGUGGCAGGUCUGAAGGGGAGCCGGGGUUUGAAUCUCAAAACUGUCAGGCUCCAGAGCCCACGCUGAGAGUCUCGUCCAAGGUCACCCAGGCAGAGAGCACAGAAGCGAUUCCAUGAGCCACAGGGCGUGAAUUAUGAGCAGCUGAAAAUGAACAAGAAGCACCUCGCAGCCCAGGCAAUAUGGAAGCACCAGAUAAGAGCCCCUUGCAUGUUUCCUAGCGCGUUGCUAAAACACACCGAAAAUGGCAUGUGACCAGCAGCUGGGGAGAGGGGGUGGAACACAGCCAAAGCAAAUUGACCAGUGUUACGGUGCCAUUUAUUUUAGAAAAAGAAAUUAAUGAGGGAGACUUCAAUAUCAAUGAAGUUGCAAGAAUAUAAUGAGUUAUGCUUGCUCCCACGAGGGAAAGCUUUUUAAUUAUUUUUUUCAGAUGAACUGCAGUCACAGUGUAUUUGAUCCAUACCCGACCCACACUCUGCGGAGAGUUGAAACACGUUUUACCCAAUGUCAAGUUAAAAUAAAAACUCAUCAGAAGCAAAAUAACUCUGGGCUCCCAGGGCUCCGACGAGAAGUUUGGUUCUCUCUGGCUGCCGGCUGUAUCAUAGUGACCUUUGUACUGAACAAACACUUGGCAGAUGAAAUCUGAGAAUAAUUCUCUCUGCAUCAACUGGAACACAGUGAGCUCCGCUGGGUCUCAAUACAAGCGAUCAAAAAACAUGACACAUUUGUGUCUAAUACAUGUGCCACACAACUCAGGGCAAUUGCUCUGUGGAUUCGGGCAGCCUGCAAGGGCUCCAUUCUUCCUGGGAAUUCAGAAGGCUCUCACGGGGUUCUUCUGGAAGAAUCCCUUUCCUCUGGCCAGCCUCCAUUCCACCUAAAGACUUCUCUCUGUCUCGGUGUUCUCCCCAUGCACACGCAUGUGUGUAUCAGUGUUGCAUGUGUGCCUGCCUACCAAACACACUUCCACAACUCAAACUGAUCUGGUUUCACCUUGUUCCCGUUCUGUUGAAAACACGGUGCACUUGUAUUAAAACUGCCCAGAACUACACACACACAAACGAGUACACAUCAAAACUGGCAAAAUCUGAAUCAGCUCCACAGACGGUACCAUGUUAAUUUCCUGGUUUUGAUAUUGCAUUUCAGUCAUGCGCCGUGUUACAUUGGGGGAAACUGGAUGAACAGUAUGGGGGACUUCCCGGUACUUUGCAGCAACUUGUGAUUCUAGAAUGAUCGCAAAAUAAAAAGUUGUUUUGUUUUUAAGCUACAUCUUCAAAUAAUUUCUUGAGCACAAACGUCCACACACACACACACACAACAACGCAGUUCCUUAUAAAAAAAGUUUGGGCAAAAGACCCAAGGGUCUUGGUUUAGUUUGGUACUGAUUCCCUCAGUACUGGUUGUGGGAUGAAUCACACACCCCUCCCCGCCCUGGACAAAUUCAUGUUGGGGCGCUAACCUCCAGUACUGCAGUACAUGACUGCAUUUGGAGAUAGAGCCUUAAAGAGGUAAUAGGUUAAAUGAAGUCAUACAGGGGGUCCCUAAUCCCAUAUGACUGCUGUCCUCUCAAGAUGGGGAAAUCAUGGGGCGCCUGGGUGGCGCAGUCGGUUAAGCAUCCGACUUCAGCCAGGUCACGAUCUCGUGGUCCGUGAGUUCGAGCCCCGCGUCAGGCUCUGGGCUGACGGCUCAGAGCCUGGAGCCUGUUUCCGAUUCUGUGUCUCCCUCUCUCUCUGCCCCUCCCCCGUUCAUGCUCUGUCUCUCUCUGUCCCAAAAAUAAAUAAACGUUGAAAAAAAAAAAAAAAAGAAGGGGAAAUCAGGCCACAAAGAGCCCCCAGGGGUGUGAGCACACAGAGGAAAGACCCCGUGAAGGGAGGAAAAGGAGGAACAGGAGCCAUCUGCAAGCCAAGAGAAAGGCCUCAGAGGACAACAGCUCUCAGGAUGCCUUGAUCUUGGACUUCCCGCUUCCAGAACGGUGAGAAAAUAAAUUUCUGUGGCUUAAGCCGUCCAGUCUGUGGUGUUAGGUUAGGACAGCCUUAGCAAACUAACACAGGACCCACAUCCUGCACGCCUCAUUCAUCUGGUUUCGUCCCCUGGGAAUGAGCCCCCACAGCAUCCAUCUUCAACAGGGAAACGGCGGCUCAAGUGUGGCAGGAAAACCAAGUCAAGUAAGGAACAAAGGUCCCAGCACAGAAGAGCUAAAUAGCAGGUUAACUCCUUCCCUACCCGGCGAGGCUGGUGCUCAGCUACCUGAAUUAUCAACACAUGGAAGAGAAGGGCACCUACCUGGGGGGCUCAGUCAGUGGAGCAUCCGACUUUGGCCCAGGUCAUAAUCUCACAGUUUCUGAGUUCGAGCCCCGCAUCGGGUUUGGGGCUGUCAGUGCAGAGCCCCCUUCUGAUCCUCUGUCUCCCUCUCUCUGUGCCCCUCCCCCACUCACACUCUUUCUCAAAAAUGAAUAAAACAUUCACACACACACACACACACACACACACUCGCGCACGCACGCAAAGAGAGACAACAAGUCUUCCGGGGGAGCCCCCGGAGCAGAGCCAGUGGCAGCUUGGGGGCAGCUGUAAGGAGACAGAUUUCUAACCCAAUGGAAGUACAAUCACCUAAUGGCUAUCGUGGUUCAAAAAGGGAAUCAUCAGCGAUGUGAGGGGAGGGGAGGGGAGGGCCCGUGCAUCUCAGGAGAGAGGGAAGCAGAAGGCGGAAUACGCAGCCGCCCCUGUCUGGGAAGCACCAGCUCUAGUCUGAAGCCACCUCUACUCAAAGCAGUGGCGGCUCCACAACCCUGUCCUGGACUGUGAGCCGGGACCACCCUCCCCUCUGCCUAUUCCCACACUUUGGGCCGGGGCACCCACUCUCCCUUCCGAUCGCACCUCUCCCCUCGGCUUUGAGGCACGUUGCUCUCUUCCCUCCUGGCUGGCUCCCAACAUUAUUACCUCCUGAAGACCUCAUGCUAUCUUGUGGCAGGCCCGGACUUGUACCUGACCCCCUGGACCAGCCACCAGCCCUCUCCCCUGCCAACCCCAGCCUUGUGACACAUCCCAGACGUACAUGGAAAAACCCCCACCCUCAGACCACAAGUCCAGCUAAGUUAUCUUAGACAAGUCAUUUAACUGCUCAGAAUCACAGGGUCCCGUCUGCCUUCUUGACAACAGCAAACACUUAAAACAAACGAACAACAAAGAAAAAAAAAAAAAACUAUGUCCAACAAUAGAGGGCAUUAAAGAU